UGUACCGUAUGAAUAAGGAUCGGCUAACUCCGUGCCAGCAGCCGCGGUAAUACGGAGGAUCCGAGCGUUAUCCGGAUUUAUUGGGUUUAAAGGGAGCGUAGGCGGACGCUUAAGUCAGUUGUGAAAGUUUGCGGCUCAACCGUAAAAUUGCAGUUGGUACUGGGUGUCUUGAGUACAGUAGAGGCAGGCGGAAUUCGUGGUGUAGCGGUGAAAUGCUUAGAUAUCACGAAGAACUCCGAUUGCGAAGGCAGCUUGCUGGACUGUAACUGACGCUGAUGCUCGAAAGUGUGAGUAUCAAACAGGAUUAGAUACCCUGGUAGUCCACACAGUAAACGAUGAAUACUCGCUGUUUGCGAUAUACGGUAAGCGGCCAAGCGAAAGCGUUAAGUAUUCCACCUGGGGA
rnacentral:rRNA from 1 species